rnacentral:rRNA from 1 species
UACGUAGGGCGCAAGCGUUAUCCGGAAUUAUUGGGCGUAAAGAGCUCGUAGGCGGUUUGUCGCGUCUGCCGUGAAAGUCCGGGGCUCAACUCCGGAUCUGCGGUGGGUACGGGCAGACUAGAGUGAUGUAGGGGAGACUGGAAUUCCAGGUGUAGCGGUGAAAUGCGUAGAUAUCUGGAGGAACACCGGUGGCGAAGGCGGCAUUCUGGACUACAACUGACACUGAGGAACGAAAGCCAGGGGAGCAAACGGG